GCCUGGGUGGCUCAGUUGGUUGGGCAUCUGACUUCAGCUCAGGUCAUGAUCUCAGAGCUUGUGAGUUCAAGCCCCACAUCAGGCU
rnacentral:tRNA from 1 species